rnacentral:rRNA from 1 species
AACGAACGCUGGCGGCAGGCUUAACACAUGCAAGUCGAACGCCCCGCAAGGGGAGUGGCAGACGGGUGAGUAACACGUGGGAACGUGCCCUUCGCUUCGGGAUAGCCUCGGGAAACUGGGAGUAAUACCGAAUACGCCGUAUUGGGAAAGAUAUAUCGGCGAAGGAUCGGCCCGCGUUGGAUUAGCUAGUUGGCGGUGUAAUGGACCACCAAGGCUACGAUCCAUAGCUGGUCUGAGAGGACGACCAGCCACACUGGGACUGAGACACGGCCCAGACUCCUACGGGAGGCAGCAGUGGGGAAUCUUGGACAAUGGGCGCAAGCCUGAUCCAGCCAUGCCGCGUGAGUGAAGAAGGCCUUAGGGUUGUAAAACUCUUUCGCCGGUGAAGAUAAUGACGGUAACCGGAGAAGAAGCCCCGGCUAACUUCGUGCCAGCAGCCGCGGUAAU